AAAAAAAGAAAGAAUGUUGUCUUCCCUCGCCAUGUGAUUCCAAUGUCUGGAGUCAAAAAUAUUAAACAAUCCUUGCUUUAAAGUUUGAUCCAGUUUGCACAAUUGGGUGAAAAAUAACUUUUGGAUCAAAAAGUGUUUCAUCAAAAUUUAUUUAGAGGGCAAUAUUUUGGAUAAGUUACUGAACUAAAGGAUCCAAAAGGAAUAAAGAUUUGGAAAAAGUGAUUCAACCAAGUUUUGAAAAAUUUGACCAUAAUUUCUCUUCUGAAAAAGUUUAUUUGUAAUUAUGUUGUUAUUUAACUUGUAAUUAGUGUAAAAUAAACCUUUUUGAUGUUUUAACUUCUUUGUUUUCAUUGUUGACACUUCUGGAUAUUGUCUCUUCUUAUUUCUUAUGUAGACAUGCUCACAUAUUUUUUUGGUAAUAAUUUUUGAGCUAAAAUUCUUUCUCUCGAUAAAAUUGUUUUCGAGAUGCUUACCUUUAAUGGAUACUUAUGGUGUUUAAAAAUUAAUUUAUCCAUAAGUU